GCAGGGACAGGGUCCUGCUGUGUUGCCCAGGCUGGCCUUGAACUCCUGGCUUCAAACAGUCUUCCCACUUGGGCUCCCAAAGUGCUGGGAUUAAAGGGGCGAGUUACAGCACCAGGACCUGAAAUGAAAAACAUGGCCAGCAAAGCAGGUGAGGCAAAGAUCAGGAAGGACAUUAAACGCCAAACUAAGGAGCGGAACUGAAUGAGCAGUGAAGGGGAACAAUGGCUUCAGCAGGUCCACUGGGCUCCUCUUUUCUGUCAGCCUCCCCCUACCCCUCACCUCUGUACUACUCAUGUUACUAUCUACGUCUCUUCACCAAUGUCAUUGUGGAAAUAAAAGCUUAUCUGUAAGAG
rnacentral:lncRNA from 10 species